rnacentral:rRNA from 1 species
UACGUAGUGCGCAAGCGUUGUCCGGAAUUAUUGGGCGUAAAGAGCUCGUAGGCGGUUUGUCGCGUCUGCUGUGAAAACUCGAGGCUCAACCUCGGGCUUGCCGUGGGUACGGGCAGACUAGAGUGCGGUAGGGGUGACUGGAAUUCCUGGUGUAGCGGUGGAAUGCGCAGAUAUCAGGAGGAACACCGAUGGCGAAGGCAGGUCACUGGGCCGCAACUGACGCUGAGGAGCGAAAGCAUGGGGAGCGAACAGG